CUUGUUCUGCUUGAUGUUUCUGAAGUUGCCGUGCUGCAGUUGCGCACGCGAAACGCUCCGAGAAUAUCAGCUGCGUCUUAUUCCGCCUCACACUCUUCUAAUAAGCUCUCGAUAACAAGCUAAAAGUGCUGUUCGCCUGUCUGACCGUUUUUGGAGCGCAGCGGACCGCCGCGUCCUCCUCCCGCGUCUGGAGCUCCUGCGCCUCUCUGCGCUUUUUGGCACCAGCCACUUUGAGUCCAAUCAUGCAGGACGCGUGUCUAUUUGCUGCCGCAGAUUCUAAUUAGAGCCAAUCAUGAGAGUCCUUGCGCUCUGACAUCACGACCGAUGGCACACCUCCAUCCCAUCCCAUCCCAUCCCAAGCGGGCGUGCGAACUCAGCCUUCAUCUCUGAAUGAGUGAUGAUGGCACUGAUGCGCGCCGAUGAGAGGACAGACAGGAGAGCUGAAUCCUCUACAGUGAAUGGGUGCCGUCAGAAUGAGAGUCCAAAAACUGGUGAAAACAUCUCAAUAAUCCACAAGUAAUCCACACCACUCCAGUCCAUCAAUUAAUGUCUUAAGAAGUUAAAGUUUUGAAGUGAAAAUGCCUUAAUGAUGACUUUAUUUCUUUCAGACACACAGCUUUUCGAGUGGUUUGGAUUACUUUUGGAUUAUUGUGGUGUUUUUUCAGCAGUUUGGACUCUUAUUCUGACGGCACCCAUUCACUGCAGAGGACCCACUGGUGUUACUGAAGCACAUAUCCAGCAUGACAGUAGGGCACAGAGAACUGCAAAAGCAAGUCCUGCGGUAAUGCCUCGGCUGUGCCAGUUCCAAUCAGACCGACCCGCGCUGGUGAAGGUGAGCUGUACAACUGCAUUUGUGUUUGUCUGUGCUUUUCUAGUGCUUUCUGUCAGGUACAGUGCAAACCUUUCUGAUAGAA
ensembl:lncRNA